UACGUAGGGCGCAAGCGUUGUCCGGAAUUAUUGGGCGUAAAGAGCUCGUAGGCGGUUUGUCACGUCGGAUGUGAAAGCCCGGGGCUUAACCCCGGGUCUGCAUUCGAUACGGGCAGACUGGAGUGUGGUAGGGGAGAUCGGAAUUCCUGGUGUAGCGGUGAAAUGCGCAGAUAUCAGGAGGAACACCGGUGGCGAAGGCGGAUCUCUGGGCCAUUACUGACGCUGAGGUGCGAAAGCGUGGGGAGCAAACAGG
rnacentral:rRNA from 1 species